rnacentral:siRNA from 1 species
CUAUCUGCUCGAAGUUGUAAC